rnacentral:sRNA from 1 species
GAUUCGCUUGCGUUAGGGAUUGAAGAGUAAAUCCUUUUGUUUUUUCUUUAAAAACAAAAGAUUGAAAUGAAAAGCCCGACCUCGU